rnacentral:rRNA from 1 species
UGGGGAAUUUUGGACAAUGGGCGAAAGCCUGAUCCAGCAAUGCCGCGUGUGUGAAGAAGGCCUUCGGGUUGUAAAGCACUUUUGUCCGGAAAGAAAUCCUUGGCUCUAAUACAGUCGGGGGAUGACGGUACCGGAAGAAUAAGCACCGGCUAACUACGUGCCAGCAGCCGCGGUAAUACGUAGGGUGCAAGCGUUAAUCGGAAUUACUGGGCGUAAAGCGUGCGCAGGCGGUUUGCUAAGACCGAUGUGAAAUCCCCGGGCUCAACCUGGGAACUGCAUUGGUGACUGGCAGGCUAGAGUAUGGCAGAGGGGGGUAGAAUCCCACGUGUAGCAGUGAAAUGCGUAGAGAUGUGGAGGAAUACCGAUGGCGAAGGCAGCCCCCUGGGCCAAUACUGACGCUCAUGCACGAAAGCGUGGGGAGCAAACAGGAUUAGAUACCCUGGUAGUCCACGCCCUAAACGAUGUCAACUAGUUGUUGGGGAUUCAUUUCCUUAGUAACGUAGCUAACGCGUGAAGUUGACCGCCUGGGGAGUACGGUCGCAAGAUUAAAACUCAAAUGAAUUGACGGGGUCAUAGCUGUUUCCU